rnacentral:rRNA from 1 species
GACGAACGCUGGCGGCGUGCUUAACACAUGCAAGUCGUACGGUAAGGCCCUUUCGGGGGUACACGAGUGGCGAACGGGUGAGUAACACGUGAGUAACCUGCCCACAACUUUGGGAUAACGCUAGGAAACUGGUGCUAAUACUGGAUAUGUUCUCCUGCUGCAUGGUGGGGGUUGGAAAGCUCCGGCGGUUGUGGAUGGACUCGCGGCCUAUCAGCUUGUUGGUGGGGUAGUGGCCUACCAAGGCGGCGACGGGUAGCCGGCCUGAGAGGGUGACCGGCCACAUUGGGACUGAGAUACGGCCCAGACUCCUACGGGAGGCAGCAGUGGGGAAUAUUGCACAAUGGGCGCAAGCCUGAUGCAGCAACGCCGCGUGCGGGAUGACGGCCUUCGGGUUGUAAACCGCUUUCAGCAGGGACGAAGCUUUUUGUGACGGUACCUGCAGAAGAAGCACCGGCUAACUACGUG